UACGUAGGGUGCGAGCGUUAAUCGGAAUUACUGGGCGUAAAGCGUGCGCAGGCGGUCUCUUAAGACAGGUGUGAAAUCCCCGGGCUUAACCUGGGAACUGCGCUUGUAACUGAGAGGCUAGAGUGUGGCAGAGGGGGGUGGAAUUCCACGUGUAGCAGUGAAAUGCGUAGAGAUGUGGAGGAACACCGAUGGCGAAGGCAGCCCCCUGGGCUAACACUGACGCUCAUGCACGAAAGCGUGGGGAGCAAACAGG
rnacentral:rRNA from 1 species